rnacentral:rRNA from 1 species
UACGUAGGUGGCAAGCGUUGUCCGGAAUUACUGGGCGUAAAGGGCUCGUAGGCGGCCAACUAAGUCGGAUGUGAAAUCCCCAGGCUUAACCUGGGAACUGCAUCCGAUACUGGAUGGCUUGAAUCCGGGAGAGGGAUGCGGAAUUCCAGGUGUAGCGGUGAAAUGCGUAGAUAUCUGGAGGAACACCGGUGGCGAAGGCGGCAUCCUGGACCGGCAUUGACGCUGAGGAGCGAAAGCCAGGGGAGCAAACGGGG